UGGUGGCGACCGGCGCACGGGUGAGUAACGCGUAUGCAACCUCCCUUUCAGAGGGGAAUAACCCGGCGAAAGUCGGACUAAUACCCCAUAAAACAGGGACACCGCAUGGUGAUAUUUGUUAAAGAAAUUCGCUGAUAGAUGGGCAUGCGUUCCAUUAGGUAGUUGGUGAGGUAACGGCUCACCAAGCCGACGAUGGAUAGGGGAACUGAGAGGUUGGUCCCCCACACUGGUACUGAGACACGGACCAGACUCCUACGGGAGGCAGCAGUGAGGAAUAUUGGUCAAUGGGCGAGAGCCUGAACCAGCCAAGUCGCGUGAAGGAAGAAGGAUCUAUGGUUCGUAAACUUCUUUUGCAGGGGAAUAAAGUGCAGGACGUGUCCUGUUUUGUAUGUACCCUGAGAAUAAGGAUCGGCUAACUCCGUGCCAGCAGCCGCGGUAAUACGGAGGAUCCGAGCGUUAUCCGGAUUUAUUGGGUUUAAAGGGUGCGUAGGUGGUUUGAUAAGUCAGCGGUGAAAGUUUGCAGCUUAACUGUAAAAAUGCCGUUGAAACUGUCGGACUUGAGUGUAAAUGAGGUAGGCGGAAUGCGUGGUGUAGCGGUGAAAUGCUUAGAUAUCACGAAGAACUCCGAUUG
rnacentral:rRNA from 1 species